rnacentral:rRNA from 1 species
GGGUUGAAGCAUGACCGUAAGGACAUGUGGACAGUAGGGGAGUGAGAAUGUUGGCAUGAGUAGCGAGAUGUGGGUGAGAAUCCCACAGGCCGUAAACCCAAGGUUUCCAGGGGAAGGUUCGUCCGCCCUGGGUUAGUCGGGACCUAAGCUGAGGCCGAAAGGCGUAGGUGAUGGACAACAGGUUGAUAUUCCUGUACUACCGAUAACCGUUUGAGAGAUGGGAUGACACAGUAGGAUAAGCUAAGCACACUGUUGGUUAUGUGUGCCCAAGCAUUGAGGCAGUCAAAGUAGGCAAAUCCGCUUUGAUAAUGCUGGGAUGUGAUGGGGAGCGAAAUUUAGUAGCGAA